rnacentral:rRNA from 1 species
UACGUAGGGACCGAGCGUUGUCCGGAUUCAUUGGGCGUAAAGAGCGUGUAGGCGGCCAGGUAGGUCCGUUGUGAAAACUCGAGGCUCAACCUCGAGACGUCGAUGGAAACCAUCUGGCUAGAGUCCGGAAGAGGAGAGUGGAAUUCCAGGUGUAGCGGUGAAAUGCGUAGAUAUCAGGAGGAACACCGGUGGCGAAGGCGGGUCUCUGGGCAACAACUGACGCUGAGGAGCGAAAGCGUGGGGAGCGAACAGG